rnacentral:rRNA from 1 species
ACGAACGCUGGCGGCGUGCUUAACACAUGCAAGUCGAACGGAAAGGCCCUGCUUGCAGGGUACUCGAGUGGCGAACGGGUGAGUAACACGUGGGUGAUCUGCCCUGCACUUCGGGAUAAGCCUGGGAAACUGGGUCUAAUACCGGAUAGGAGCCAUUUUUAGUGUGAUGGUUGGAAAGUUUUUUCGGCGUAGGAUGAGCUCGCGGCCUAUCAGCUUGUUGGUGGGGUAAUGGCCUACCAAGGCGGCGACGGGUAGCCGGCCUGAGAGGGUGGACGGCCACAUUGGGACUGAGAUACGGCCCAGACUCCUACGGGAGGCAGCAGUGGGGAAUAUUGCACAAUGGGCGCAAGCCUGAUGCAGCGACGCCGCGUGGGGGAUGACGGUCUUCGGGUUGUAAACUCCUUUCGCUAGGGACGAAGCUUUUUGUGACGGUACCUAGAUAAGAAGCACCGGCUAACUACGUG